rnacentral:lncRNA from 1 species
GGUUAAGGGGAGGCUAAGAAAGUCGCAUAACAAUUAAUUAAUCAAACUAAUAUUCAAGAGGAGUAGAUAAGAGAGAGAGGAUUAGAUGAAAUUGUCAACCCCCAACAACAUCCAUUCAUCCAUUGUUUUCGUUUGUCAAUUGAAUCAACUUUAUUUUACAUGUUAAUAUUUUUUUUCUCAAAUCCAACUUAUUACUUGUACGAUGUGGUACACUUGCCUAUUUGUCAACAGCAGCCUUGGACACCAAAAAUCUGACCACUUGCUUAUUUCUUUUCCCAAGACACCGAACAUCAACUACCAUUUCAAUCUCAAAACUACUUUACUAGCAUUGAAUGCCCUUUCUCCAAACCACCACUGUGGGCCCCUUCAAAGAAAUUGUAGACUAAAUAUGAGACUUUGUUCCAGCAGCUCUUCCAAGGAAAUGUUGCCCCCUUGACCGAGAUAUACAUCAAUGCUGCAACUAGCAAAGAGAAUUCAAUGCCUACUCCAUAUGCUACUUGUACUCUCCCUAGGAAAAGAAAUGACAAUGAACCAUGUGCUUUCUACUCUAUUGGGAUCCAUGCUUCUUCUCCAAUAAGGCUUCAUUCCCCAAUAAAGCACAAUGAGAAAAUAAAUUUAAAAUGAGAAAUGUUUCUUUUCCAGCCACCAAACGGACCAAUGCAAUCAACUAAGAAUCCUCUCUCAAGCUCAAUCACCAUAAAAGCACACCUACCCCCAUCUAAUCACCUUUUCAUUCUUCAACUGAAAUAAAAGCUCAAAGAAAGUAAACACCGAACCAUUUCAUACCAUGACACUAAAUGGAAUAAGAGCAUAUUGAGUGAAGAAAAGAAAUACGAAUCUUGACUUUCAACAUGUUGUAACCGUGAGCACACUCAAAGUGAAAUGUCACACCAUGACUUGCCUACCAUCAAUGAUCUAAAAGAAAGGAAAAGUGCUUUACUUAACCAAAGAAAGGUCACCACCG